CAGAGCUCUGACGGCCGUAAUGGUUGUAGAAGAUCUCGCUACCUUCUUGUAGCAGUUGCCAGCCGCCGGAAUUGAAAGGGGCUGCCAUGCGACCACCGCAACCGACCGAGCCGGCGGUUCCUCGGUUGUUGCCUCAGCCGAUGCGUCGCCGCAAGCGAACUCCUCCAACAGCCACGCAGCCGCAGCCCACCUGCCAUUUGCAGUCUACAGCCGCCGCCCACGCUCCGACUCGCCGCUGACCGAUUGCUUCCACCUCGCCCACAACGUGUUCGAGCAAAUUCCCCCAAGAUGAACUCGUGUGACUCCUCUUUCAUGGACGAUUCAUCGUCGUAUGAGGAACUUGGUUUGACCAAAGAAGAGGACAUUGAUAUGCUAGUGACGAUGCACAAGAGGAAGGAGUCGAAGCACGGCGGAUCCGUUUUAAGCUAUGAGUUCAUCGAGAGGGAACGGGUUGAGGCACACGAGAGGUCGAUGCGCAACUAUUUUGAUACACCACCCGUUUUUCUAGAGAGGUACUUUCAUCGCCGGUUCAGUAUGUCCAAAGAUUUGUUCAUCCACAUUUGCAAUUCUGUGAAACAGCAUGAUUGAUCCUUCCAGCAGAGAAGGAAUUGUGCCAGUUUUCUUGGACACAACACCGAGCAAAAGGUCAUUGCAGCUUUGCGCAUGAUGGCCUAUGGUGUUAUUGCAAAUUACAUUGAUGAUAAUUUGGCGA